CGUAAAUUUGAAAUUUCAGCGCUGAAAGUCUGUUGCGUGUCGUUGUCAUCUCGAGCUGCGGCGCAGCAUUUUGAAAGCGAAAUCGAAACGCAUCAAUUUCACAAAGGAGGUUAGAAAUGUCGUUCUCAAGAGCGCCUUUGAAAAGGUUCAACGAAUCUGUUGGUUGCGCCCCUCCACCGGGCAUCUACGACAUCAAACCCGGGGAACCGAAGGGAGCUGCGUCCUUUGACAAAUCUGAUCGCUUCAAACAUUCUAAGGCGGUGAACCCAAUAUCACCCUCCAGAAUUUCACUGACGUCUCCUGUCAGAAGGACACUAUCCGUUGAUGGACUAGUUGAAGGAUCAAGUGCAAAGAAAGACAAGAAUGCCAUGACUUUGGAAAGGAAACAACAACGGCUAUUGGAGAAAGAGAUCCGCUGCUUGGUCCAGCAGCGAGGGGAGCAGGAUCGACGCUUGCUGUCCUUGGAGGAUGACUUGAGAAAGUUGGAAGCCAAGCUUUUGGCUGCAGUCAGGGAGAAGACGGGCCUCACUGCCAACAUCACCACCCUUGAGAGACAGAAAGCUGAGCUCAAGAAAGUCAACGAGUUCUUAAAAAACAAGGUUUCAGCUGACACAACCAAAAAGAGGAUCAACUCGCUUACAAUGGAGCUGAUGGAGGCCAGGAACAAUUUAGACAGCAAAAAUGAGGAGCUAAGUGUUCUGCAGUUCAGCAGUGAAGGCCGCGUUAAGCUGUUAGAAACAGAUCUCAGAGCCAGCAAAGAUACUCUGCAGGCUUUAAAAGACAGAAAUAAAGACUUGGAGGACAUCCAUCACGUGACGAAAACACAAAAUGAAGAGUUGGAACAAGAGAAUGCCAGAUUACAUGCUGAGAUACGGGCGCUGAAAGAGGAGGUCCGGGUUAUACAAGGAUAUCUAGACACGUCCAAUGAUCAAAUCCAGGAUCUCCGCUUAAAGCUUCAAGGUACAACUCAGCAGGACUUGCAGCUUCAGAACAUCGAGCACCUCGAGGAGGAGUUAGAGCAGUGCAACGGAAAGCUUGAAGGCGCUGAACUUCUCCUGCGGGAAAAAGAAGAAGAGGCGCUGAAAUAUCAGCACAAUCUGCAGGCCUCCAAGGAGUCUUUAUUGGAAACCGAGAGGAAGUUGGCGAGCCAAGAGUUGUCUUCACAAAAGUUGGUGAGCGACAUGAAGCUGCAGGUGAUGUUCCCCAUCCGUGAGAUCCAGCAGGACUCUCAAACAGCAAUUUGUUUGCAGGACGCUGAGGUUGCUCGACUACGGGUGGUGCUUAGGAGGACCGAGAGAGAGCUGGAUGAGAGAGUGGCGCAUCUUGAACAAAGGUGUCUGUUUUCCGAAGAGGAAAGAAACAAAACUCAGGAGGAGGGCUUCAGGAGAGUGGAGGAGUUAAAGACAGAACUCUACUUGCUGAAGGAGACAAACCGAGAGGAGAAAAAGAGACAGAUUCGACUACAGCAUGAGCAUGUCUCUCUCACUGAGGAGCUGGUAAAAGAAAGGGCUUUGGUGGACUCUCUAUCUGUGCUGCUGGAGCAUGAGAGGCUGGAGUCAGAGGAGCACCGGAGUAAGUUGAAGGAGGAGUUGGAGGAGGUUCUGGGAGAGCUGGCUCUCAUGGAGGAUCAGGAGCAGAGGCGAGCAGAGGCAACGGACCAGAGUCAGGAGGUCCUCCAGAAGCUACAGGAGGAAAAUGCUAAGCUGGAGAGACAACUGAGAGACACCAGAGAGCUUUUAGACCGUAAGAGCAGUGACAUGUCAUCUUUGAAAGAGGAGCAUUCAGUCGCCAUGAGAAAACUCCAAGAGGUGCACACAAGCUUACUGAACACAUUGGGGGAGCAGGGUACAGAGCUGGAAAGCACCAAAGAGGCUCUGAGGGACACGGAGGAGAGACGCAAACACCUGGAGGAGGAGAUGGAAAAAGCGACCCAAAUGACAAAGCAAGUGAGGGAGGAGUUAGACAAUGUGAUUCAGCAGCAAGAUGAGGAGAUCAGGAGCAAGAGGGAGGAGCUGGAGGAGCACCAGAGGAAACAGUUUGAUGAGCAGAGGGCUAAAGAGGAGAAUGCUCGAGUUUUGCUGGAGGUGCAGGUUCUCCUCGCUCACAGAGAUGAACAGAUGCAGGCCAUGGAGGUCAGCCAUGCUGCAAGAAUCAGGCAGUUAGAGCAGGAGCUCCAGUAUCAGACAAAAGACAAGGAAGAGGUGCUGAAGCAAGUAGAAGAGAAAAGCCAGGAAGUUGCUGAUCUCCAUCAUGAGAAGGAAAUAGCCCAGAAGCAGCUCAAGGAGGUCCACCAGGAAAAUGUAGACAUAAAGGAACGACUACUGCAAGAAAAGGAAGAGAAAGUUAAAUAUCAGGCAGCGCUUCAGGCGGCAUGUGCAGCACGGGAGGCUGAAACUAAAGACCAGCAACAGCUCAGGUCAGAGGUGCUCAGAUUACAGGCUGAGCUGGAGAGAAUGGACGAGGAAAGAAGUCGACUUAUUUCUCAGGUCGAACUUUCCAACGAGUCAGAGCUGGCACUUAAACAUCACGUGGAGACUGCGGAGCAAGACAGGAAUCAUCUUCAGUCUCGCUUGGAUGAGCUUCAGCUCAAAGGUGGAAACCUUGAAGCUCAAUUAGCCCUCGUGGAGGAGAAAAUGGAGGCUCUGCAGUGUGAAGUGGACCACCAUCACCAAGACCAACACACUCUACAGCAGCAGGUGAAGGUGCUGACUGAGGAAAAGGUCACACUACAGUGGGAGAUGCACGAGCAGAGACGGGAGCUCCAAAGAAAAAUAGCUGAAGCACAGGAGAACAGCUCCUCAACUUCAGAGACAGAACACUGGAGGACCCAGUAUGAGGACCUGUUUGCUAAAGUAAAACCUUUCCAGGAGCAGCUGAAUUCCUUUGCAGCAGAGCGCAGUGCACUCCUCAAUGAAAAUGGAGCAAACCAGGAGGAGCUGAACAAGCUGGCAGAUGCCUACGCACGUCUGCUGGGUCACCAGAACCAGAAGCAGAAGAUUAAACAUGUGAUGAAGCUCAAAGAUGAGAAUAUGGACCUGAAACAGGUAAUGGUGCACAAGUGGGCAUCAGUGAUCAUGAACAACAGUGGAGAGAUAUUGCUAUACUAUAACCUUUUAUGACUAAAGUUAUUUUCUUUGCAUUUCAAUAGGGGUGCAUGAUGAUAAAUAAACAAAUAAUUAAUUAUCAGGCCAAUAUGAGGAUGUCAUACCCAUAAAUCCGAUAACAUUAAAAAAAUUGCUCUGAUGACAGAUUAUAUUUAAAAAAAACCAAAUAAACAAAAAGCAUCACGCUUCAACACAUCAAACCUCAGCCACCUGAAGCGCCAGCAUCGUUAUGACACCUGGGGCGUGUUCCAAUCAUCACAGCCUUUGAAAAGAACAGUUGGCCAGAGACAACCCCAAACGUCUUCAGAUAGAAGAUGCUGUAUGUUUUGUUAAAAGUAGUGAUGUCAUUCUAUUUGCUUGAGACAAAUCUACAGGUACAGUUUGACAAAUCCAACUUUGUUUGACUCGUUCCUACCUGUGUGCACAAACUACAGUUAAAUCAAAAAUUUUAGAAUAAUAGAACUCCGUUCUCCCUUGGAAAAGGGUGGAGUGCCAUCUCUGGGUUGCGGAGAUCCUGCAUCAAAUGGAGGAGUUUAAGUACCUCAGGGUCUUGUUCACGAGUGAUGGAAGGAUGGAACGCGACAUCGACAGGUGGAUUAGUGCGGUGUCUGCAGCGAUGCAGACUCUGCAUCGGUCCAUUGUGGUCAAGAGGGAGCCGAGCCGAUCUAUGUUCCUACCCACACCUAUGGUCAUAAGCUUUAGGUAGUGACCAAAAGGGUCAAAUGAGUUUUGUCCGUAGGGUGACUGUGUUCAGGGCAUGUUCGACCGGUAGGAGCCCUCAGGGAAGACCCAGGACAUGUUGGAGAGACUAUGUCUCUCAACUGGCCUGGGAAAGCCUCGGGAUCCACCGGGAGGAGCUGGACAAAGUAGUUGGGGAGAGAGAGAAGUCUGGCCUUCCCUGCUUAGGCUGCUGUCCCUGCGACCGGACCUCGAAUAAGCGGAAGAAGAUGGAUGGAUACAAGAGGUGUUGAAGCUUCGCUCCCAGGUGAGCCGUCAGAAGAGUGAUCUGGAUCAGCUCAAGUCAAAGCUCCCUGGCGGUUGUCAGCGCAGGUUUGAUCCCCGCAAAGCGUUCCAACACAAUA